rnacentral:rRNA from 1 species
GGAACCUACGGGGCGCAGCAGUGGGGAAUAUUGGGCAAUGGGCGCAAGCCUGAUGGAGCAACGCCGCGUGGGUGAAGAAGGUCUUCGGAUCGUAAAACCCUGUUGUUAGAGAAGAAAGUGCGUGAGAGUAACUGUUCACGUUUCGACGGUAUCUAACCAGAAAGCCACGGCUAACUACGUGCCAGCAGCCGCGGUAAUACGUAGGUGGCAAGCGUUGUCCGGAUUUAUUGGGCGUAAAGGGAACGCAGGCGGUCUUUUAAGUCUGAUGUGAAAGCCUUCGGCUUAACCGGAGUAGUGCAUUGGAA